rnacentral:rRNA from 1 species
GGGGGGCUACACAUGCAGUCGAACGGUAGCACAGAGGAGCUUGCUCCUCGGGUGACGAGUGGCGGACGGGUGAGUAAUGUCUGGGAAACUGCCCGAUGGAGGGGGAUAACUACUGGAAACGGUAGCUAAUACCGCAUAACGUCGCAAGACCAAAGAGGGGGACCUUCGGGCCUCUUGCCAUCGGAUGUGCCCAGAUGGGAUUAGCUAGUAGGUGGGGUAACGGCUCACCUAGGCGACGAUCCCUAGCUGGUCUGAGAGGAUGACCAGCCACACUGGAACUGAGACACGGUCCAGACUCCUACGGGAGGCAGCAGUGGGGAAUAUUGCACAAUGGGCGCAAGCCUGAUGCAGCCAUGCCGCGUGUAUGAAGAAGGCCUUCGGGUUGUAAAGUACUUUCAGCGAGGAGGAAGGUGUUGUGGUUAAUAACCACAGCAAUUGACGUUACUCGCAGAAGAAGCACCGGCUAACUCCGUGCCGGCAGCCGCGGUAAUACGGAGGGUGCAAGCGUUAAUCGGAAUUACUGGGCGUAAAGCGCACGCAGGCGGUCUGUCAAGUCGGAUGUGAAAUCCCCGGGCUCAACCUGGGAACUGCAUCCGAAACUGGCAGGCUAGAGUCUUGUAGAGGGGGGUAGAAUUCCAGGUGUAGCGGUGAAAUGCGUAAAGAUCUGGAGGAAUACCGGUGGCGAAAGCGGCCCCCUGGACAAAGACUGACGCUCAUGUGCGACAGCGUGUGGAGCAGACACGAUUAUAUACCCUGGUAGUCCACGCCAUAUACGAUGUCUACUUGGAUGUUGUGCCCUUGAGGCGUGGCUUCCGGAGCUAACGCGUUGAGUCGACCGCCUGCGGAGUACGGCCGCAAGGUUAAGACUCAAAUGAAUUGACGGGGGCCCGCACGAGCGCUCGAUCAUGUGGUUUAAUUCAAUGCAACGCGAAGAACCUUACCUACUCUUGACAUCCGGACAACUUGUCAAAAAAUGCUUCUUUGCCUUCGGGAACUCUUAAGACAGGUGCUACAUGCCCUGUCAUCAUCUCCUGUUGUGAAAUGUUUGUUUUAACUCCCGCGACUACUGCAACCCUUAUCCUUUAUUGCCAACCGGUUAGCCCCCAAGACUCAAAAGACACUGCCCCUUAUACACUAGAGGAAAGGUGGGCAAUGACUCCAAUCCACU